UACGGAGGGUGCAAGCGUUAAUCGGAAUUACUGGGCGUAAAGCGUGCGCAGGCGGUUUCGUAAGUCUGUCGUGAAAUCCCCGGGCUUAACCUGGGAAUGGCGAUGGAGACUGCGAGGCUAGAGUUUGACAGAGGGGGGUAGAAUUCCACGUGUAGCAGUGAAAUGCGUAGAGAUGUGGAGGAACACCGAUGGCGAAGGCAGCCCCCUGGGUCAAAACUGACGCUCAUGCACGAAAGCGUGGGGAGCAAACAGG
rnacentral:rRNA from 1 species